rnacentral:lncRNA from 1 species
UUUUUUUUUUUUUUUUUCAGAGACAAAGUCUUGCUCUGUCACCCAGGCUGGAGUGCAGUGGCGCGAUCUCGGCUCACUGCAGCCUCUGCCUCCCGGGUUCCAGUGAUUCUCCUGCCUCAGCCUCCUUGGGUAGCUGGGAUUACAGGUGUUCGCCACCACGCCCAGCUAAUUUUUGUAUUUUUAAGGAGGUCUCGCCAAGUUGGCCAGGCUGGUCUCGAACUCCUGACUUCAGGUGAUCUGCCCGCCUCGGCCUCCCAAAGCGCUGGGAUUACAGGCGUGAGCCACUGCGCUGGGCACUUUAAUUCUGUCUUUACUUUCUGAGAUAGUCUCGCUCGGACGCUCAGGUUGGACUGCAAUGGCGUGAUCUCAGCUCGCUGAAACUUCCACCUCCCGGAUUCAAGCGAUUCUCCCGUCUCAGCCUCCCGAGUAGCUGGGAUUAUUGACGCGCAGCACCACGCCCGGCUAAUUUUUGUGGUUUUUGUAUCUUCUGUCUUCUGCUCUUUAGUACCGCAUAGAGCCACAGAAGACUACACAGACAUUUAUGGGGGAGAUGGAGAGAGGAGAGAUUAAGGAGAAAAAGUGCCUACCACUGGGAGGCCCGGCGCCGGCAGAUGGCUUUGGACCGAAGGAGAUGGCUGAUGGCCCAGCAGCAGCAGGAGCUGCAGCAGAAAGAACAGGAACUGAAGAAUCACCAGGAGGAAGAACAACAAUCGGAGGAAAAACUCCAGCCACAUAAGAAGUUAAAUGUGCCGCAACCACCAGUGGCGAAAUUGUGGACAUCACAGGAGCAACCACAGCCAUCACAGCAGCAGCCAUCAGUGCAGCCACCAUCACAGCCACCACCACAGCCAUCAACAUUGCCACAGGCACAGGU